rnacentral:rRNA from 1 species
GAUGAACGCUGGCGGCGUGCUUAACACAUGCAAGUCGAACGGAAAGGCCGAAGCUUGCUUCGGUACUCGAGUGGCGAACGGGUGAGUAACACGUGGGUGAUCUGCCCUGUACUUCGGGAUAAGCUUGGGAAACUGGGUCUAAUACCGGAUAUGACAAUCUCUUGGAUGGGGUUGUGGAAAGCUUUUGCGGUAUGGGAUGAGCUCGCGGCCUAUCAGCUUGUUGGUGGGGUAAUGGCCUACCAAGGCGUCGACGGGUAGCCGGCCUGAGAGGGUGUACGGCCACAUUGGGACUGAGAUACGGCCCAGACUCCUACGGGAGGCAGAAGUGGGGAAUAUUGCACAAUGGGCGCAAGCCUGAUGCAGCGACGCCGCGUGGGGGAUGACGGCCUUCGGGUUGUAAACUCCUUUCGCAACCGACGAAGCUUUUUGUGACGGUAGGUUGAGAAGAAGCACCGGCUAACUACGUG